GGCUCCGUGGUCUCAAAACUGGGCUCCACAACACACUAUCCCUCAAGGACCGCCCACCCCGAAGGGCUCAGGCCAGGCUCUGACGGGAGAGCUUGUCCACUGCCCUGAGGCUUAGAGGAGGGAGGAGGGUGCCGGUGGAAGAGUCCCUCAUCCCGGCCCUGUGCGCCAGCCCCAACUGCUCCCCUUUUGGACCCCCUCCAUUCCCAUACCUCCGCCCCUUAGCAGCGCAGACCAGCGGCUCCCAAACUUGAGCGUGCACCAGCAUCACGUGGGGGGCUUGUUAAAACACAGGUUUUAACCUCACCGCCAGCGUUCCUAAUUCAAUACGUCGGGGGUGGUUCUUAGCCCUGGCUAAAGUUAGAAUCACCUGGGGAGUGUUUUGAACACUAUUGAUCUCUAUACACAACCCAAACCAAUUAAGUCAGCUUCCCUGGGAGCCGGGGGCGUGAGUGCUUUCCAAAGGAUGGCAUUCUAAGAGCUCCUCCACUUUUAUUUGUUUCUUAUUUCUGCAACCUUUCUGAUUGUUUACGAAUCUCUCACUAAUUACUAACUGUGGGCCUCUAAGGGCAGGGUUGUAUUUUACUCUAGUUAGUACCAGGUCAGGGCACCUGACUCAUAGGACAGUCCAGUUGGCAGCAUUUGCUUUGGGGCUGGCAUGGAUAGUUCAGUGAGAAGUGGGACAAGGCCCACCAGACCUCUGAGAAGGGUGGGAAAACAUGAGGGGUGGGGGGCUGGGGGAAAGGUAGGGGAGUAGAGAAGAAGGAGAAGAUAUGGGGGAGAGGGCUGUUUAUCAACCCCUGAUUUUCCACAGCUAAUUUCACACUUCAGGGAUUAUUGUUUUAAUCCCUAGUGGGCUUCUCCUGUCACUCAGCAGAGCUCACUCUGUGUCCCUGUAUGAUCCAGCUGUGGACUGGGAGAAUGUAAACUUAUUUUAUUUUCCUUCUCAGGCAGAAAAUAUCUCACACAUACAACUCAGAACACUGUGUUGCUUUAUCUAAAAAGUGUAUACCAAAGCCAAGCAUAUCUUAAACCAGUGACUUUCAUGAUUUUUAUUGUACAUCUUCACAACAAAUCUUUGUUGAAUCCUAAUAUGUGAGAGAAAAGGUGUACAUGUUUUCAUCAGGCUUUAAUUGUUCUGAAGAAAUGCCUUUGUCUAAGGCACCCCUGAAACACUCAUGGGCAGCCUUGGCGUUUCCCAGACCAAAUGAAGACCUCCUUAAGUUUUCCUGGUGUUUCAGGUUGUCCAUACCACUAUGCCAAGCUCUUUGUUAGAAUGAAUAACUCAGAGCUGACACUGCUCUUCCCCAAGGCACGGGGAACAAAUUUUACUUGUAGGUGUCUGCAGCUUCUGUACCUUGCAUAAGACAGCUUCUGCUGUCUUUGCUCAGGCUGCUAUAAUAAAUGCCUUAGACUGGGUGGCUUAAACAACAGACAUUUAUUUCUCACAGUUCUGGAGGCUGGGAAGUCUAAGAUAAAGGUGCCAGCAGAUUUGGUUCUUGGUGAGGGCCCUCUUCCUGGCUUGUAAAGGGCCACCUCUUGCUGUGUCCCCACAUGGUCUUUCCUCCAUACACACAUGUGGAAGGAGAAAGAGAGAGGAAGCAAACUUUUUGGUGUCUCUUUCCAUAAAGGGCACCAAUCCCAUCAUGGGAGCUCCACCCUCAGGACCUCAACUGAACCUAAUUAUCUCCCAAAGGCCCAGCUUCUUAAUACCAUCACAUUGGGGGUUAGGGUUUUAACAUGAAUUUAGUGGAGACGUUAACAUUCAGUUCAUAAUGUCUGCUAUUUGUUUUUUGUGCUUUCCUUCUCACUAUCAAAAAGUAGCCAAGAGAUGUGGCAUUUAGUGUUGUGUGAUCCACACUAUUUUUAUGCUUCUGUUAUAAAACAGAUAGGAGUUAGGAUUAUAUGGGUUAUGAGUAAAAUUUCUUCAGGAAUCCUUUAUAGCAGGUGACAGGAUCAUUCAUUUCUGCUAGCCAAGAGAGAAUGAGGCUCUCUCAGCUUUGAUAAGAACAGCAGACAUCUUACCAGAGAUUGGAGUUAGUCAGUGUGAUGUGUUGGAGGGUGCUUGGGGCAGGAUGGAGGAGGAUCAGCUCAAAUAAACCCUACAGAUGAAGAGUGGAGGUGGGGGCUGAGUCUCCUGAAGAAAAUCAAAACCCUGGUUCCAAAAGAAGGGGUGUAUUGGUCAGGUUUUGCUAGUAUAAUACUGUGUAACAAACAACCCCAACACUCACUGGCUUGCUUAAACAACAAAUGGGUCUUGGUUGGCUGGGUUCAUGUUUGCUUCACAUGUUUUUCUCAUUCUGGGACCCAAGCUGAAGGAACGGGCUCAAUAUGGGACACGUGGAUUUCUGGAAGGGCAGGAGCUCCAGAGAAGUGAGUGGAGACACAUGGAGCCUCUCAAAACCUCUGCUUAGGACUAGCACACCCUCAUGUCAACUCACAACCCAGUGGGGAAAGCAAGUCAUAUGGCCAAGACUAAAGUCAAUGGGACAGGGAGAAGGAAAAGGAGGGAAAAAGGGAGAAUUCUGAACAAAUAAUAUAAUCUACCACAAGAGAAAAUGGAUGUUGGGUAUACAAAAACAACAAAUCUCUUUGUUCCCUCAUAAUUUAACAUUCCAUAAUGUAUAACAGAAUGGGAUGCUGUGGAUGGUUUAAAAAAAUACAGAUGGAUGAGGAAGUAUAAUUAGAUAGGACAGGAAAAAAAUGAGUUUUAGAAUAUAUCAAACUAAAAUAUUUUAGAACACAGCAGAACAAAUAAUAUAUGAAACGUAUGAAUUGAUGGUAUUAAACUUAUGAAUUGAUGAAUUUUGGUAGAAACUCAAAAGCGGUUUGCCUCAGUACUCUGGAGACUGCCUCAAUGUUGAGGGGCAUGCGGGUAGGAGUUGGGAAUAGACAGCCAAAGCCUGAUGGGAAGGCAGCCCACUCAGGUGGCAAAUAUACAUUUGGAAUCAGGAAUUUUGGGAUCCAGUCCCAUACUGACUUCUUCUAGCUCUGUGACCUUGACUAAGUCACUCACCCUCUCUGAGCCUGCAUGAACAUCAGUUUUUACUGAUUUUUACAGUGAAUGCCAAUUUUACCUUAAAACAACAUGUGUUAUGGACUAGGAUUCAACAAAUUUCAUGAACCUCAUUUGAAAGAGUAUUUAAAAUAAUUUUAUAGACUUGCAGGAAGACCCCACUGGGAGUCUGCAUUCUCCCUUUUGCAUUGUUAGAGAACUUUCAGUGGGGACAUUUGAGAAGCAUUGAUUUGGACCAUCUUUUUCGCCCUCAGACUGGUCAUCGAUAGGCCAGAGGUUGGCAAACUGCAGGCCCACCGCCCGUUUCUAUGACUUUCAAGCCGUUUUAAGAUGGAAGAAAGUAAAGCAACAUUUUUGGCAUAUUAUGCUUUAUUAUUUCAAGAAAGGUAAAAACGCAACUGAAACGCAAAGAAAGAUACGUGCAGUGUAUGGAGAAGGUGUUAUGACUGAUCGAACGCGUCAAAAGUGGUCUGUGAAGUUUCGUGCUGGAGAUUUCUCACUGGACGAUGCUCCACAGUCGGGUAGACCAGUUGAAGUUGAUAGCGAUUAAAUCAAGACAUUAACUGAGAACAGUCAACGUUAUACCACGCGGGAGAUAGCCAACAUCCUCAAAAUAUUCGAAUCAAGCGCUGAGAAUCAUUUGCACCAGCUUGGUUACAUGAAUCGCUUUGAUGUUUGGGUUCCACAUAAGUUAAGCAAAAAAAAAACUUCUUGAACAUAUUUCCCCAUGCAAUUCUCUGCUUAAAAGUGAUGAAAACGUUCCGUUUUUAAAACAAAUUGUGACAGGCAAUGAAAAGUGGAUACUGUACAAUAAUGUGGAAUGGAAGAGAUCACGGGGCAAGCGAAAUGAACCGCCAACAACCACACCAAACGCCGGUCUUCAUCCAAAGAAGGUGAUGUUGUGUAUAUGGUGGGAUUGGAAGGGAAUCCUCUAUUAUGAGCUCCUUCCGGAAAACCAAACGAUUAAUUCCAACAAGUACUGCUCCUGAUUAGGCCAACUGAAAGAAGCACUCGACGAAAAGCAUCCAGAAUUAGUCAACAGAAAACGCAUAAUCUUCCAUCAGGGUAACGCAAGACCGCAUGUUUCUUUGAUGACCAGGCAAAAACUGUUACAGCUUGUCUGGGAAGUUCUGAUUCAUCAGCCAUAUUCACUAGACAUUGCACCUUCGGAUUUCCAUUUAUUUUGGUCUUUACAAAAUUCUCUUAAUGGAAAAAAUUUCAAUUCUCUGGAAGACUAUAAAAGGCACCUGGAACAUUUCUGUGCUCAAAAAGAUCAAAAGUUUUGGGAAGAUGGAAUUAUGAAGUUCCUGACAAAAUGGCAGAAGGUAGUGGAACAAAAGGGUGACUACGUUGUUUAAUAAAGUUCUUGGUGAAAAUGAAAAAUGUGUCUUUUAUUUUUACUUAAAAACCGAAGGAACUUUUUGGCCAACCUAAAAGGAGCGAUAACGCCAUGAAGUUUUGUAAAUGAUAUUGUGCGGUACCGAGGCAUGUGAACAAUCACUAGGAGGGAGAAUAACUGAUGGCAUUUGGAAGGAAUUAACACUGAUUCCAAGCUUUAGAUUUUUUAAAUUCACAAUUGAUUGAAAUUUAUUAAUACUUUGUAUUCUCACACUUUGUAUCCCCAAAUCCACAUUGUAGCAUUACAAAGGAAAGGAGAUUAAAACACAGCGAUAAGGUGUCACAACUCAGAAAACUGUGAGUCACUGCUGUCAUUUCCAGGAUGCACACAACUGAGGAACUGUCCUGACCAGCUACUGGUCAAAAUCAUUUCCUACAUAAUAGAAAUCUGACUUGUCCAGAAAGGUACAAAUGGUCUUGGGCCUUUUUUCUUUCAGUGAUGCCCAGAGUGCCUGUGUCAACAGCUGCUUUGGAUUUUAAAUGUGUAGAUCAAGAAACAGGGCACUUUAUCUCUUGUUUUGAUCCUAGAAGGUGUUGGGCAAGACUUUGAAGGAAACUGCAGUCUUUCUUUUCCCACAGCAUCACAGUCACAGAAACCCAGGCAAUGCCCCAUGGGCAGGAGGUCGUGCUGUGCUUUAAUGGCAAAGAUGGGCAAGGGGUGGUUUGGGGAGUUUCAAGACCAACUCCUUGAUGGUGGAAAAAUCUAAUGAAUUGGAGGCUGAUUAUCACUUUUGAAAAAUCCUGAAACUCAAAUGAGAAUAGUGCUUUGAGAGCAGCAGAGGAAGGCCUGGGGCCAUGACCAGGCUUGCCAGAGAUGAUGGUAGCACAGGGGUCUUCAGAGGGAGUAGAAGCUCCCAGGCACAAGCAUAAUAAUUUAAUUCCUUCCCAAGGGUCUAUCUGCAUGGGGGGACAGGCCUUGUUUGGGGAGGCUGGAGCCAAGGGGGGAUUUUGAUGCAAAAUCAAAACAGAUGAAGUUGUGAAAUUUAGGGGUACUCUGAACCCAGGCACUCCUUCUGCCUGGGGUCCAGCACCAAGAUGAGAGGGCAUGCGACCUGACAUUCCUUGUCGCCAUGAGGAAGCCCCUGAACAAGGAAGCCAGAGAACAAAGAACAGGAGGGAAUAAGCCUUCAUGUUUCUGUCUGGAAGGAUCUCCAGUAGGAAAGGGAGAGGGAAGUUCUCUGACUGGCAAGUUUAGGAAUAGAAACUGCAACACUUGGCUCAGCUCCCACCUGCCCUCUCUUUUGGAACCCGCUUGUCCCAAGAACACACGGUCUCUGUUCUCCGUGCUGCGGGUGCCUGCGGUUUUCCAGCUCGGCCCAGGUAGGUAAGUUUAAUCCGGGGCCGAAAUGCCAGCCAGCCCACUGUGCCUGUAGAUGGGAAGAUCAGCCUCCAAUCUAGCUGUUAUCAGUAGUAAGACGAUUAUUUUCAUCUCCACCAGCCUGGCACCUGCUUUCUCUCUCAGCUGUUUCUGAAAUUGGACAGGAAAGAGAGGAGUAAUUUGGUGGGCUGGGGGUUUACCUAGCCAGCUCGUGUAAGACACCGCAAUUGGAAUUCUGAGAAAUAACCAGAGAAGGCUGGGUUUAGGGGCAGUGGAGGUGCAGUACUGAGUACCCCCAUGAGCAUGUAGAGGUUCAACAAUGUCAUUAGUGGGUGUCCAUGGUCAUAGGGCCUCACGGGUACCCACAGGCUGACGAGACUACAGAUGUAACCCAGGAUGGAGGAGAAGAGAAACGCCAUCUACAGGCUGCUGUCAGGAACCAGGCACCGUGGUUUGGAGAAAAUGUCGGCUGCAGCCCACCAAUCUGACUUCAUGAUCCAUGAAUGGUUUGAGAGGCACAGAUUGCUGAAAACUGAUGGGUAGUGGUGGGGCAGACCAUAGGACAGCGGGAUCGCAGCAGCCAGAUGAGGUCGAGUAGGAGAAGCGGCUUCAUAUAAAAGGGAGAGCAUUUGUCUGUGUACGUGUGAGUCAGCGCCCUUCUGAACAUCCCCCUACACUUUCGCAUUGUCUGUCAUCCCACCGAGCACAUUCCCACCUCUGUCACGAAGCUAUCUUCCCCAAAUGCAAUAUUUAAAAGACACUUCUGAACGUCUUAGCUUUGUUUAUCACUGUCUUGAUUUAUCAGCCCACCAGCCAAUGUAUUUCUUGAGGAACCUGCACUGUGUCUGUAGCCAGCUGCUGUACAGUUGGCCCUCAGUGUCUGUGGGUUCUGCCUCUGCAGAUUCAACCAAACACAGAUUGAAAAUAUUUGGGGGAAAAAAUUCCAGAAAGUUCAAAACAGCAAAACUUGAAUUUGCUGUGCACCUAGCAACUAUUUACAUAGUAUUUACAACUACUUACAUAGCAUUUACAUUGUAGUAGUAUUAUAAGUAAUCUAGAGACGAUUUAAAAUAUAUGGGAGAUACAAUGGAAUAUCAUCCGUCAGCCAUAAAAAAGAAUGAAAUAAUGCCAUUUGCAGUGACAUGGAUGGAUCUAGAGAUUAUCAUACUAAGUGAAGUAAGUCAGACAGAAAAGACAAAUAUCAUAUGAUCUCACUUAUAUGUGGAAUCUAAAAAAUGAUACAAAUGAACUUACAAAACAGAAACAGACUCACAGACAUAGAAAACAAACUUAUGGUUACCAAAGGGGAAAGGGAGUGAGGGAUAAAUUAGGAGUUUAGGAUUAAUAGAUAGACACUACUAUAUAUAAAACAGAAAAACAACAAGGCCCUACUGUAUAGCACAGGGAACUAUAUUCAAUAUCUGGUAAUAAACUAUAAUGGAAAAGAAUCUGUAAAAGAAUAUAUAUAUAUAUAUAUAUAUAUAUAUAUAUAUCUCUGAAUCAUUUUACUGUACACCUGAAACUAAUACCACAUUGUAAAUCAACUAUACUUCAAUUAAUAAAUAAGUAAAUCAAUCAAUCGAUCAAUAAGUAAAUUUCAGAAACUGAUUUAAAAAAACAUAUGGGAGGAUGUGCAUAGGUUAUAUGUAAGUACUACACAAAUACCAAUGGACAACUGUACUUACCAUGGGGGGACGUGUGAUAUGUUAAGGGGGUGGGGGCACAGGACAAGAUCCAGAUGCCACCACGGGAAGGCUGGUUUGGCUGGUUGUCCAUGGAUAGCAUCACCUUGGUGAUGGCCUUAGCCUGAGCUGACAGGUUCAGAAAGUGGACCUACACCUCUGAGCACGGCCUCACCACACAAGGCCUCAUAUUUAGCUCUGACAUUGUCGCCAAAUGACCUUAUUCUUACAGGUACAGAGACAGCCUGAUAAAGUUGAAAGUAGAAGGUGUUCAUCACAUAUCCUUAACCGUACAUCCCAUCCUCCAACCACUGCUUAAAGUGCACUCAGAAUUAAUAUUUUUGUAGGUCCUUAAUUAUAUUGUCACUAGCACAAUAAUAUUGCAUUGUUUUGUAUGUUAACAAUUAAAAUGUAAAAUGUUACAAUAUACCACAAGUUUUACACCCUUCUUUUAGCAUUUGUUCAGUUUUUAAUAUACCCAGAACCUCAACAGACAGCAGUGGUCUAUGCCUUUCCCAACUCUGAGAGGCCCCACCCCGAGGGAAGACCAGAUUCUUGGUAACACAGCUUUCCUGAAACAUCUACAAGUGAGUUUGCUUAUAAUGGAGAACAUUCCUUUCUCAGAGUGACUGAAAUGCUUGCCUCUACUGCCCAGAGGACCCCUGUACGUAACCAGGAAGGCAAAUCAACAUUUGAGAAUUUGUUGCUCGGUGGUCAACAAUGAAAGCACAUGAGGUGAAUUUCUUAUCAUGGAGGGUCAUCUCCGGAAAUAACAAAGCGCCCACUCCUCCCAUACAUUUCCCCACGCUACAUUCUGCAGGACAGGCAAGCCAAAGGUGGCCUUUCUCCUUGCGCUCCAUUCCCAUUUACACCCUAUUCUGUCCACACAUCCUUUCUUUGGACAUUAAAGUCCAGCAAAGUAACUGCUCCAGGGGACCUGAAGACAUCUGGUGUUUUUCCCAUCACAUGUGGAUUUAACCUUUUUGGUUUAAUUUUCUGAGAGAAAACUCACUUCCAAGCCCCGGAGUGAACCUCUCUGCAGGCUCCACACACUCCCAAUGUGCAUGGUACAAAGUAGACACUGUGCCUGACCUUGAGGAUUUACCAAAUUAAAAUGGCAGUUUAAGCCAAGAAGCCUGUCCUAAACAGAUAACUUGGAAGCAGCAUGGUUUGGUGGAGAGAACCAUGAUUUAACAGCAUAGACUCUCAUUCCAACCCUGUCGUGUGAUUCUGGGAAAGACACUUACAUUCUUGUAUUGAAAAUGGUAGGCCUGAGGUGGGAGGUGGUUCAGAAAAACCUCUCAUGACUGAAACCCACUCAUUCAUUGAUUCGUUCAUUCAUUCAUCAUAUAGGAAUUAGCACCUCCUGUGUAUCAGAGAAUGCCUCACAACCAAAUGGCAAGAUAAGUAACACAUGAUUCCUGCCUUCAAGGAACUUUCAAUCUAUAACUUACAGCUCUAAAAUCUCGCUCUUCAAAAUACAAUGAUAAUCAGAAAACUUAUUAGCACAGGGUGGUCAACCAUCUUAAUAAGGCCACAUGCUACAUGGGAAGGUCUCCCACAGUGCAGUCAGAUGGUCCUAGGUUCAAGUUCAAUUCCAUGACCUUGGGCAAGUUCCCUUAUCCCUUCCAGUCUCCAUUUCCUUGUCCCUAGAAUGGGCAUAAUAAGAUCUGCUUUGAAGUGUUGGGAGGAUUAGAGAUAAAAUAUACAAAGUAUCCCACACAUAGUUAGCAUUUAAUAAACCACCCUCCCACUUCCACUCUUAACCCUCAACAUCCAUUCUCCAAGAAGCUAGAUCGUCCUCUUAAAAAUGUAAAUCACGUCAUAUCAUUUAGUAUCCUUCCAUGUGCCCCCUCAAAUUAAUAGAUUCCUGACUCUGUAUUGUGGCCUACGGGCCAUGAUCUGGCCUCUGCCUUCUCCCUGCUCUGUCUCCUUCCUAUCCCCUCACUGCUCCCUCCAAGAGACCACAUACCUCCUCUCUGUUUUCUCAAAUAAGAUAAGUUUGUCCCCACCUCGGGGCCUUUGCUCUCUGCAUUUUCUGAAGAGUUAUUAGUUUCUCACCAAUCAGGUAUCAGCUCAAAUGCCACAUUGUCAAAGAGGCGCUUCCUGGCCAUACAUCUCCCAGUUCAGUCCCUCUGUCACAUUUUCUAGUUUACUUUUAUACCACCAGCCUCUAAUUUUCUUGUUUAUUUCCUUGUGUAUUGUCUGCCCUACCUCCCUCAAGAAUGUAAAUUCCCCAGAGGUAGAUUCCUUGUGUCUCUUAUUCACUAUAUCCCCAAAACUGAGGCAGUGCCUGGCAUAUAACAGGUGCUUGAAAAACAUGCUUUGAAUUUAUGUUGUAAAAAUUACCAUUAUCAUCUCGUGGUUGGAAUUUAUCUUCCACAGAUAACGUCUGCAUCUUGAGCCAAAAGAGGGAACUAGUUUCAUGUCUGAAACACAAAGCUGAGAAGAACGUGUGGAAAACUCAGGAAUCAGGAGGAAGGAGGGUAUGAGCUCUGAGAGGCCUUUCAAUGCAAUAUAUAUAAAGAGUUCUGGAUUUGGAGUAAGAAGUCUGAAUUCUAGGCCUAAUUUUACCAGGAGCUACCUCUAUUCCUUAACUUCUCAGGCCUUCAUUUCUUCAUAUGUGUAAGAAAGAAAAGGUUGAACUAACUAGGCCCUUCCAUGCCUUCAGAACAGGGCCACUUUGGGAAGCCCAGAAGCAUACGCAUGAGAUGCUAAAGGAAAGCAGCUGAGAAGGGGGUGAUGCGUGAGCCCCUCUCCGUGCAGAACCACUCAGAUCCUGUGACUGAUCCACUCCAUGGCCAGACUGUCCCUCACCACACUGCUUCCCAGGCAGGGCCUGGUGGACGGCUGCUGCUCACAAGGUAUUGGCUGAAUGAAGGAAUGUCCUCUGGAACCACAGGGAGGAGGAAGUGACAACUCAGUGACUCAGAAGAAAGGACCACUGAGUCACCAAGCCACUUCCUGUCUUGCUCAGUGUCCUUCCAUGGUGGGAAGGUGGCAAACAGCUCAAGCUCUAGUGGGUCCAGAUGCAAUGACGUUGCAAAGCG